UUGUCCAGCACUGGCAUUGACUUGAAGGCCUGGUAGAUGCUAGCACAGAUCCUUCCUUUGGUUCUCUUGAACUGUGAUACUACCACACGAAUUAAAGUCCUGUGAGGAGAAAAGAGGCACUGGGCAGAGGCAUUGGGGUUUAUGGCAGCCCUCACACUGCCUACAGUGGGCUUUCAUUUUGGCAUAGACGUGCUGGCGCGACAUCUCUUGCCUUGAAAAUCCUUUUCUCAGUUGUCACUGCGCAUGGACAUUUGCAUCUCCAAAUCCAGCAGGGCUGCAGGUAACAAACCCUUCUCCCUGGGUGACGGUUUGCGCAGCUGGUGGUUGGCAGGGUGGGGCUGCUCACUGCCACCAGGGCAUGUGCUGUGCUGCAGGUACUGCAGGUGCUGUAGCUGCUCGGUGCUCAGAGGCUCUCCAUCUCUUGCAGCAGCUGCAGGCUUCCUCUGGUGUGCAGGGGCUUUCAGGGCACGGACACAGAGGGUGAGUCUAUGAGCAGAUUCCUUUCCCUGCUUGGGGUUGAGAAGCUUGUUUCAGGGUGAGCCUUUUCUGGUUUGUUCUUAGCCUGUCCUGGAGGUGGGUCUGGCUGUGCUGGAGCUGUACCAGCCUCAGUAAGGGCUGUCCUAACCUGGCCUGGGUUGGGGGGCUGCCCUGCUCUGGGAGGUGAGAAACUCCAGCCUGUAUUGUUUUCUGUCAUUCUGAAAGAGUGCCCUGGGAAUGCUAUCUGAGCUUAAAUCCUAAGGCAGAAGGGGGGGUAUUUGGAAAGCAGCCUUGGAGCAUGUUUGGAGUCAUCUCUGCUGCUUCCUUAUUUAAACUGGCAAAGAUUUUGCAAGGAAGAUGUCUGCUUUCAUUCAAUGGAGAGCAGUGUAUCUCAGGAAACACCAAAGGAGGUGGAACUUCCCCACGUGUGGUGUGAGCAGUGCAAGGGGUCGGUGUUGGGAGGCAAUGCAGACAACUGGAUUCAGAAUUCCAUGCAACAGGUAUGUGUGUGGCACCAUCCUGAGCUGGGGCAGCUUCUUCAUUUACAACAGCAUCAGCAGUUUGCUGUGUGUGGUGCCAAGCUGGUGCUGUUCACGGCUCUGUGUUACACAGAGGUGGAGAGUUACCACACCAACAGCAGCACAUGGCCUCCCAGGGGGCUCCUGUUUGGCAGGGCUGGGCUGAGCCCUGGGUCUGAGCCCACAGGGAGAAGUGCUCCCUGGAUCCCUCAGUGCUUGUUCAGCCUUCUCGUGCUGCAACCGAGACUGGAAGAGCCUGGCUCUUGGUCUCUGAUGCCAGACAAGGAUAACUUCUGGGUGAUGAGCUGGUUCUGAUUGCCCAGUUCUGAUUGCAUCUCUCUGCCAGGUCCCAGCUGAGGUUGCUGGUGGGGGUGAUGGCAGCUCACCGGCAGCUCUUCCCUACUCCAGGUAAUGGGGGCUCUGAGCAGUGUCCAUCCCAGAGCUGCUACCCCACAGCCUGCACGGAUCCCUGCUCUCCCAGGGAGACUGCCAGGGCUGAACUUGGCCUCUGAUGGUCCCAGUUGUCUCUGCUCUGUUUCAGGCCUGCUGCUCUGUGUCUUGGCUCUGCACUUCUGCACCCAGGGCCCUCUUGCCAUAGCAGGUGAGUGCACAGCAGAGGAUCCUCUUGGGAAUGGGGCAAAGGCAACUUGGUGUGAUGGGACAACAUCCCUGUCCCCUCUUGGCUGUAAGCUAUUGGACAGAGCUGUGCUCAGGAAAUUUUCUUGAGGUUUUGACCCCAGAAAUGGCUGUAUCUCCUAUGCAAUGUGCCUCGAAGGGGAAGGGAGAAGCUGCUGUAACGUUUCCAUAGUCAGCGAUUAUCUCUGACCCGCUGGGCAGGCUCCUCCCUGCUGGCUGCAAGCAGAUCUUUGUUCUUGUUUGGGAUGGGGGACCACAUGGAUGCUAUUUCCUUCACCAAGGGGGAACUUUGUGUUUUUUUUAGGGCGCAAAGUGGUCAACAUGUCCAUAGUCACCACCCAUGCCUCGGUGGCUGCCACCAGUGCCUCAAUGUCCACAACCAACCAGGCAUCCAUGGCCACCAACCAGACCUCAGUGGCCACCAAUCAGACCUCAGUGACCACCUACGACCAGGCAUUGGUGGCCACCAACCAGACCUCAGUGGCCACCUCCAACCAGGCAUCAGUAGCCACCAAUCAGGCCUCAGUGUCUGCCACCAGUGCCUCAGUAGCCACCUCCAAUCAGGCAUUGGUGGCCACCAACCAGACCUCAGUGGCUACCGCCAGUGCCUCAAUGGCUGCCUCCAACCACACCUCAGUGACCACCACCACCACUUGGGUGUCCAUCAGCCAGGCUUCAGUGGCUGCCAACGCCUCCAUGAACCAUACAGAACAAACCCCGGUAAGGAGAGGGAAGGGGGAUGCUGGCCAUGCAGAAGCUCUGCUGCGCUGUGACCCCCUGGCGUGUCCUCCCCCCAGCUCAGCUGUCAGAGCUUCCAGUGCUCCGGGGAGAGGUGUUACCAGGAUGAGGCCCACAGCAACAUGACGACCACCUGCUACAAUGAGACCUUCUGCGAGGUAUGGAGCUUAGAGCGGCUGCUGGAGGCUGUGAGCACAACACCUGAUUUUCCUUUGCCACUGUCCCACUCUGUCCAUUAUUUUUGCUCCUCUGUAAUGGCCUCUCUUCGCACUUCUAGUGGGUUUUUUUUUUUUCCUUUGGCUCUGCUGUUGCAGCUUUAUCGUUUCUCCAGCAUGAACUACACCGCCAGAUGCAGCAGUGUGUGCAGUGCAGAGCUGUGCAGGACCAAUGGCAGCGUGACCCUACAGCAGUGCACCAUGGAGUGCUGCAACACCUCCCUCUGCCUGCAGCUCAAUGCAAGCUCCUAUGGUAACUGCUCCAUGGUUUAUCCCGCUGCAUGCAACAGAAGUGGGUGUGCGGAUCCAUCAUGCUGGGCUGCAUCGCUGUGGUUCCUCUGCCCCAGCGUGUGGACAUGAAGGCUGCACAUGGGCUGUGUCCUCAGGGCUCCUCUGUGCCCACAGGUGAUCUUCCCCCCACCACCGUGCUGCCCACGACCACCAUCACCACCACCACCACCCCACGCCCCCCCCCACGAAAUGGGAAAAUCUGUGCAGCAUUCUCCUGCCAUGGGGAUGGAUGUUUCAAAGGCAAGAAGAGCACAGCUAGAUGCUUUGUUGGGCAUGAUUUCUGCGAGGUACGGCUGGGACAGGACAGGUGGGAUGUGCUGGAGUCUGCGUGCAUCCCCUCAAUGCAAAUGCCAGAGGCUGGGCAGGACCAGCAGGUCAAUCUCUCUCCUCCUUCCAGAUGAAGAAGACGGGCUUCAAUUAUGUGGCAGGAUGCAGCAAAGCCUGCAAGGCUGCCAAGCCUGUCUGUGCCCGGGGGGUGAAGGCUGCCUGUUUCCAGGAGUGCUGCCCCGCCACCCCCAAGGGCAGCUGCUUAAAGCUGGAUGGCAAAGUUCAUGUGAAUGGUGCUGGGCAGGUGGCUGUGUCCCCGCUGCUGCAGCUCCUGGCAUGUGGGGCAGCCCUCCUCUUGAGCCGAAGGGCCUCCACUCCCCUCCAUGGGUGAUCCCCGCUACACAUCGAGCCUCUGUGCUGCAGGGAUGGCAGAUGCUGGAAGGAGAGACCUCAGGUGUAGGAGUGAGAGGAUGCUGAGCCAGCUUGGAACCCAGGAACCUCUGCCUUGACCCAAGGCACAGCUUACACAGUGUAGUUACAACGUGUUUGCACCGCAACUGUCUGAACACCCACUUAGUUUCUAAAUGAUACGUCCUGUCCCAGUAGGCUGUACUGUUUUGUCUCCAGGUCUUAGACAGGGCAAUGGGGCUGAGCUAAAAGCAUCGUGUUAGACCGUCCUGUUUCGUAUCUAUGAUUCUCUAUGGGUAAAUGUAGAGCAGAGACACGAGCGUGAGUCUGUAACAGGAGCUGGCUCCCAGCCAGACAGCUGGCAAUGGCUCUGUGGUGCCACUGUGCAAACACAUUCUGUCCUCUUCCUGCUCUCUUUUAAGAAAAUAAAAUAUAAUGACAAUAAUAGAGAAGCUUCAGUCCCUUGGGUUGAUGUCAGGCUGCUUUGGGCACAGCUCAGCUCCAGGGAUGUGGUGGGAAGGGGAUCCCAGCUGUAGGGCUGUGCUGGGACAGCAGCAGGAUGGCUUUGCUGGGAGCUCCGCACAGUGGAUGUGGGGCUGAGGGCAGGCAGUGUGCAGCCAUCAUUGGCCCUUCCACGCUGCAGUGCUGCUGCACCAAAGCCAUGGCACGGGCUGGGGGGUGCUGUCCCAUCAGUCUAUCGGCAGAAAAUGACAACGGGAUGGAACUCAAAGAUGUUUCUGUUUCAGAACCGACUCACGACACCACGUUUCUUGUAAGGAGGAGCGCUCUGGAGAUUGGAGCAGAUUUUUCUCACUGUUCUCCUUUCAUUUCCUCUUCGCAGUCUUUUAUCUGUUCUGAGAAGGGAGCAGAAAGCACAGACUGCUGCUUUUUCCAUAUCUGCUCGACUUUGCCGUUACUUCUACAGCAGCAGAAAGGGCUGACUCACACCGAGCUCCCCCGUUCGGCACGUCAGCGCCUGCUGACAUUUCCCAGCACCUGCUCACACCCUCCGCAGCAGUUAUUUGCAUAAUUAAAGCUCGGAAGUCAGCUGGGUCACGACAUUUAACAAAACAUUCCAGGUCCUACCGCAAAAAGAGCCCCUCCUGAUGGCAGUAGGAAGUCAGCGGCUCUGCAUUGCCGCAGGCCCGGCUCUGUACACGCGGUACCCUCAGCUCGGGAACGCUCCGUGCCCCCCCCGACCGUACUCCGCUUCUGCUCAGCCCUUCCCGCUGCUCUCCCGGCUCUCCGCCCCAUUAACUCAGCAGCAUCCCGUUUAAAAAUCCUUCCCGGUCCCGUCCAGCGGAGCUGGAAAUGAUGCUCUGUCGCUUCCUGGCGCUUUGCGAGCCUCUGUCCGGGCGGAG
ensembl:lncRNA